AUUGAACGCUGGCGGCAGGCUUAACACAUGCAAGUCGAGCGGGGUGAUGGUGCUUGCACUAUCACUUAGCGGCGGACGGGUGAGUAAUGCUUAGGAAUCUGCCUGUUAGUGGGGGACAACAUCUCGAAAGGGAUGCUAAUACCGCAUACGUCCUACGGGAGAAAGCAGGGGAUCACUUGUGACCUUGCGCUAAUAGAUGAGCCUAAGUCGGAUUAGCUAGUUGGUGGGGUAAAGGCCUACCAAGGCGACGAUCUGUAGCGGGUCUGAGAGGAUGAUCCGCCACACUGGGACUGGGACACGGCCCAGACUCCUACGGGAGGCAGCAGUGGGGAAUAUUGGACAAUGGGGGGAACCCUGAUCCAGCCAUGCCGCGUGUGUGAAGAAGGCCUUAUGGUUGUAAAGCACUUUAAGCGAGGAGGAGGCUCUUUUGGUUAAUACCCAAGAUGAGUGGACGUUACUCGCAGAAUAAGCACCGGCUAACUCUGUGCCAGCCGCCGCAGUAA
rnacentral:rRNA from 1 species